rnacentral:lncRNA from 1 species
AACAAAGAAGGUAGAACAAUAAUCAUAAGAAAACCAAAAGUUAUAUUAGAUUGUGGCAAAUAUGGGAGGCGUAGACACUUUUGAUCAGUACUGCGGUAAUUAUGCAUUUGCCAGGAAGUCACUAAAAUGGUGGCGGAAGUUAUUCUUCUGGAUACUUGAGGUAAAUAUAUAUAUUUUACUUGUAAAUGAAAUAUUUCAUACAAAAUUUUAUUUUAUAUACAUGAUCUGACUAAAAUAUUUUUAUAAUUUUUUCGUGUUUUUUAUUUACAGGUAUCGUUGGUAAAUAGUUAUCUUCUAUGGAACAUUGACAGGAGGGAAAAACAGUUAUCAGAGCAAAAACAUCUCAGUUAUAGAAAAAGGAUAAUUACACAGCUUGUAGGAGAUGUAAGAAAUUUAGAAAGUGAAAGAAGGGGAACAAUGUCAUCCUCAGAUAAUGAAGAAAGACUCAGAGGAAAGCAUUUUAUGGGAAAAUUGGGAAAAUAUAAACCCUAUGUAGUGAUAGAAAAACUAAGGGGGGUAGAAAACAAACCACAUAUUAUUGUAAAACGUGUUCCAGAAAGCCUGCAUUAUGUUUUGAUUGCUUCGAAAGAUAUCACACAGAGGAUAUUCUAUAAAAAUUUAUUUGAAAA